UAUUCAAUAGACCGAUAGUGACAGCAAACGACGCCAUAUUUUUCCCCACUACGUUGACAUUUCUCUUCAGUACGGUUUGCUAUUUGAUCAUGGAAAGAUAUACGAUCCAACAACUAGUCGAAAUUAUUAAAACUUACUAUCGAAAUUCGUAGUCAGUGGCCUUAACUUCAAGAGCGGGUGUUUUCAAAAAGAGCGUCACAAAAGUUUUUUUUUAAUAAAACAAAAACGAUUUAAACUGGAUAUCAAAGAAAUUCUUUAUUCUUGUGUGAGUACAUCUGUACGUACUCCAUGGUGGUUUCGUGCGGUUUAUGGCCCAGCGGCGUCAUUGGGCAGUACUUUUUCCGUGAUUAUCAAGACAAGCACGUUACUGUAAACGAGAAUCACUACCACUCAAUGAUAACCGAUACGUGGAUAACAGGAUGGCGCCACAAGCUACACAGCGAAUGUCGCAAUUGAUUUAUUGAAAACCAAAUUUGGUGAACGUGUUAUCUCAUGAAAUGGCCCAGUCAAUUGGCCGCCUUGGUUGUAAGAUUUGACGCCGUUAGACUAUUUCCUGUGGGGCUACGUCAAGUCUAUGGUCUAUGGCAACAAACCAGCGACGAUUGAUGAACUUCGUAGGAAUAUCGAACGUGAAAAUGGUAUCGGCCGAUUUAUGCUUGAAAAGCGUGCCCGGGGUGGCCAUACAAAAGAAAUCGAUUUCCAUACAUAAUGGCAUUGAAUGUACUUUCACAGGAAUACAGAAUUUCAUUGAUAUCCCAAGCAGUUUUUGUCUAAUUUGCAUACAUUUUCCCCGAUAUGUAUUUAUUCAAUAUACAUACAUGUAUUCUACCGGUUUUAUAUAAACAUAUAAAAGUUAUAUGUAAAUUCAACUACCAUUCACAGGGUAUAUACGUACAUUACUAAUCAUGCCGACAAGGGAGACAUUACAUGUACAUAUACUAGCUUAUGGCAAGAAUUCUACUUGAACUUUCAUUUGCCUCCUGCUCCUAAUUUAUUGGAAUGCCAGAUUAUGCUUUAAUGCAAUUCUUUUCGCCCAAAUUAAACACAAAAUAGGUAUUUUUAUUAAAGCUAUUAAGCCAACUGUUAAACUUAAAAUUUUAAAUUGUUAUAUGGCUUGGUCUGAUUGUAUCAUUUAAUUUUUUUUUUAACUAAGCUUUUUUUGUCUUAUCAUUCGUCAUCAUUUGGAAUGUAUAAACAAAUCUGGCAUCAUUUUUUUUUGAAUUUGCAAUUGUAAGAGUUGCAGUGCGCAUGCGUUUAAUGCCGUUAGCGUUUGUACAGUUAUAUAUAUUUAUGCAUGUACGUAUAUAUAUAUUUGUAAUAAAGCGAAGUUAAAAACCACUUGAAACUAUUUAUUAAUUAAGUUUUUCCCUGUUUCCUGCAACAUCAGCCAUCGAAAAUCGUUGGCACCCCAAUGCAGGAAUUUAGGAAUUCAUCUAAUUUCUUGUUUAAUAUGAAAGGAAUUUGCAAAGUAAGAGGUGGAGCCGGAAGAUUUAUAGUUAAUUUUUAUAAGAUUAAAUAUACGUUAUUAGGAUGUUUUCUUUAGCCUUUUCGGGACGGAGUUUUAUUUAGAAAAUGGGAAUAGCCACAACCAAAAUUUAUGCUUAUAUCUAUAUAUUGGGCUAAAAAAUUAUGUUCUGCAUACUCAAAAUUCCCAAAAUCGUUCUUUUAUCCUGGGACAUAUGUAUAAUCCCAAUAAGCAUUUUCUGUGGGAUAUAAAAUCCCAAUCAUUUUUUUAUCCUUCAUAAAAGGAAUAGAUAAAAGUUGAAUUUAUAAAAUAAUAAGCUUUAUUUCGAACAAAAGUGA